rnacentral:rRNA from 1 species
AGAGUUCGAUCCUGGCUCAGGAUGAACGCUGGCGGCGCGCCUAACACAUGCAAGUCGAACGGCACCCCUCUCCGGAGGGAAGCGAGUGGCGAACGGCUGAGUAACACGUGGAGAACCUGCCCCCUCCCCCGGGAUAGCCGCCCGAAAGGACGGGUAAUACCGGAUACCCCGGGGUGCCGCAUGGCACCCCGGCUAAAGCCCCGACGGGAGGGGAUGGCUCCGCGGCCCAUCAGGUAGACGGCGGGGUGACGGCCCACCGUGCCGACAACGGGUAGCCGGGUUGAGAGACCGACCGGCCAGAUUGGGACUGAGACACGGCCCAGACUCCUACGGGAGGCAGCAGUGGGGAAUCUUGCGCAAUGGGGGGAACCCUGACGCAGCGACGCCGCGUGCGGGACGGAGGCCUUCGGGUCGUAAACCGCUUUCAGCAGGGAAGAGUCAAGACUGUACCUGCAGAAGAAGCCCCGGCUAACUACGUGCCAGCAGCCGCGGUAAUACGUAGGGGGCGAGCGUUAUCCGGAUUUAUUGGGCGUAAAGCGUGUGUAGGCGGUUUAUUAAGUUUAAGAUUAAAGCCCGGGGCUCAACUCCGGUAAGUCUUAAAAACUGGUAGACUUGAGUACGGUAGAGGCAAACGGAAUUUCUAGUGUAGCGGUGAAAUGCGUAGAUAUUAGAAGGAACACCAGUGGCGAAAGCGGUUUGCUGGGCCGUUACUGACGCUGAGGCACGAAAGCGUGGGGAGCAAAUAGGAUUAGAUACCCUAGUAGUCCACGCCGUAAACGAUGAGAACUAGGUGUUGGGGGAAUAACUCAGUGCCGCAGUUAACGCAGUAAGUUCUCCGCCUGGGGAGUAUGCACGCAAGUGUGAAACUCAAAGGAAUUGACGGGGGCCCGCACAAGCGGUGGAGUAUGUGGUUUAAUUCGACGCAACGCGAAGAACCUUACCAAGGCUUGACAUUGAUUGACCGCUCCAGAGAUGGAGCUUUCCCUUCGGGAACAUGAAAACAGGUGGUGCAUGGCUGUCGUCAGCUCGUGUCGUGAGAUGUUGGGUUAAGUCCCGCAACGAGCGCAACCCCCGCCGCGUGUUGCCAUCGGGUGAUGCCGGGAACCCACGCGGGACCGCCGCCGUCAAGGCGGAGGAGGGCGGGGACGACGUCAAGUCAUCAUGCCCCUUAUGCCCUGGGCUGCACACGUGCUACAAUGGCCGGUACAGAGGGAUGCCACCCCGCGAGGGGGAGCGGAUCCCGGAAAGCCGGCCCCAGUUCGGAUUGGGGGCUGCAACCCGCCCCCAUGAAGUCGGAGUUGCUAGUAAUCGCGGAUCAGCAUGCCGCGGUGAAUACGUUCCCGGGCCUUGUACACACCGCCCGUCACACCACCCGAGUCGUCUGCACCCGAAGUCGCCGGCCCAACCGCAAGGGGGGAGGCGCCGAAGGUGUGGAGGGUGAGGGGGGUGAAGUCGUAACAAGGUAGCCGUACCGGAAGGUGCGGCUG